rnacentral:rRNA from 1 species
AACUAACGCUGGCGGCGUGCCUAACACAUGCAAGUCGUACGAGAAAGUCGGCUUCGGCUGAUGAGUAAAGUGGCGCACGGGUGAGUAACGCGUGGAUAAUCUGCCCUUUAGUUGGGAAUAACGUACCGAAAGGUGCGCUAAUACCGAAUAAUGCUGAGUGACAUCAGUUAUUUAGCCAAAGAAGGCCUCUGCUUGCAAGCUUUCGCUGAAGGAUGAGUCCGCGUACCAUUAGCUAGUUGGUAGGGUAAUGGCCUACCAAGGCGACGAUGGUUAGCUGGUCUGAGAGGAUGAUCAGCCACACUGGAACUGAGACACGGUCCAGACUCCUACGGGAGGCAGCAGUGAGGAAUAUUGCGCAAUGGGGGCAACCCUGACGCAGCAACGCCGCGUGAGUGAGGAAGGUUUUCGGACUGUAAAGCUCUGUCGAGCGGGAAGAAAUGCCUGAUGGCUAAUAUCCAUCAUGCUUGACGGUACCGC